rnacentral:rRNA from 1 species
UACGGAGGGGGCUAGCGUUGUUCGGAAUUACUGGGCGUAAAGCGCGCGCAGGCGGUCUUCCAAGUCAGUGGUGAAAGCCCGGAGCUCAACUCCGGAACUGCCAUUGAAACUGUGAGACUGGAGUACGAGAGAGGUGAGUGGAAUUCCCAGUGUAGAGGUGAAAUUCGUAGAUAUUGGGAAGAACACCGGUGGCGAAGGCGGCUCACUGGCUCGUAACUGACGCUCAGGCGCGACAGCGUGGGGAUCAAACAGG